GCAGAGAGGCGGGGAGAGCAUUCCAGUAUUGAGAGGCCCGAGAGGAUGAGGACAAGGCCCCCCAGGUCACAGGGAGGUUAGGAAAGUGAUCCCAGAUCUCUGGAGCUUCCUCGCUCUUAGCAAACUCCCUUCCUUACCUAGUUUUAUUAUUUCAGAGGCUUAUUCAUCUGGAAACUGUUGAGUAUGCCCCAGGUUCUGCUCUGAGGUUGUCUGGUACAAAUAUCACACUGGUCACAUAAUGCACUUUUAGAUUUUUCUAGGAGCCAUUUUUUAAAAGGGGAAAUUGGUGAGAUUAGUUUUAGUAAGAUAUUUUAUUUCAUUUAAUAUACAGAAAGUAUUGUCUUUGGGCAUGUAAGCAUAAAAACGGUUGAGAUGUUUUGGCAUCCCAUUUUUUAGUACUAUCUUUGAAGCUUGCGUACAUUUCAUCUUUACAACAUGACUUCAUUAGGACUUACCACAUUCAGGUGCUCAGUAGCCAGAUGAAGCUAUGGCUACUGCCUUGGACAAAUUCAUCCCUAACCAUCUGAUGGGAGGAGAAAAGGGGACCGUGGGGAAAUUCUUUCAAGAAUGUAGUAGGAGCACAGUGCUGCAGGUGCACGUGGGUCAGAGUAUGGGGAUAUCAUCCUGAACUCUCAUGUCUCUUAACCUCAGUCUAAGAAAAAAGGUAUAGUAAUGAUAUUAAAGUUGUCCAGCAGAGAGCCAUGGGGCCCAUGAUCUACCUGAUAGUGGGGUGCCCUUUGAGGAGUGGAAAUUCCCACUGACAGACAUCCUGGAAUGAGGUUAGGCAAUGAGGAAGCAGAAAGGUCAGUCUUAGGCUGGGCAGGCCAUGUGAAGUCCCUUUCAGGCAGGCAAUGCCAAGAACACUGUAGAUGCUCACAGGGUAGAGGGAGCUCUGUAAAUGUCCAUGGGGUUGGAUCCGUGGUGGGCUCUGAGCAUGGUACCUCCGGCAGGUAACUGGAACAUUCGAUCCUGGAACAAUCCAGUCAAGUCAGCAUAAAAGAUGGAGCCUGUUCUUACUGUCACCCUGGGCAGCAGGGUCCGUCCUGUGCUGGAGGGGAAGCACACAGGGCAGAGCCGCAGCAGCUGGAGGCAGAAGGAAGGGAGCUGAAGCAGAGAGAGCAGUGCCUUGUGGGAAAUGUGAAGCAGUGGUCCAGAGAGCAGCGGCUGGCUGAGGAGGGACCAUUCAUCUUUAUUCCACUGUGGCUGGGCUUUCAACUCCAAUGCCUCCUCCAACAGCUGGAAUUAUAACAGCUACAGCCAGAAGUCCCAUUUCCCAGAUCUUGCAUGCUGAGCCUCUCUUCCAGACAUCUGAGCUGCCAGUCUCCUGAAAAGGCUAGAACCCGACUCUUAAAUAAGCUUCUCCUUAGGUGCCAUUCAGAGCCCCCAGGCAGCCCCAAGGCAUGGGUGUGGGGCUCAUGAGGGCAUGCACUCCGGGGGGGGGGGGGGGGGGAGGAAGAACCUUGGGACAUUUUCUGGGUUUGAUGGGGGCAGCGGAAAAGAGGAAAUGUUGCAUGAGCGGACACACUGCUGAGCCUCAGCAGGAGACUGUGCUCCAUUUGGGCUCUAAUAAAAAUUAGAUAUA